UUAUCAGAGAGUUUGAUCCUGGCUCAGGAUGAACGCUGGCGGCGUGCUUAACACAUGCAAGUCGAACGAAGCAUAUAGAGACGAGUAUUUCGGUAUGAGUAACUAUAUGACUGAGUGGCGGACGGGUGAGUAACGCG
rfam:Lactonifactor longoviformis DSM 17459 genome assembly, contig: EJ64DRAFT_scaffold00027.27